rnacentral:lncRNA from 10 species
AUGAGAAUGUUGAAAGUACAGCAUACUUUCAUUCAAAAACAAACUUGCAUUUUCAUUUUAUUAAUGAAUAUAAUGAUGUUAAUGGUUUAUAUAAGCAGGAAAAACUUAUAUGAUUCACUACCCUACAGCUUCAUGUUCUAAUUUUGUGAGUAUAAACCCUAUGUUUUUGUAUAUCAAGAUCUGGAAUAUGUUGUAUACUGUAUAUGACCAAUACUUUAAGAACAAUCAAGUUUUUUUAUUAUUAUUAUUAUACUUUAAGUUUUAGGGUACAUGUGCACAAUGUGCAGGUUAGUUACAUAUGUAUACAUGUGCCAUGCUGGUGUGCGGCACCCAUUAACUCGUCAUUUAGCAUUAGGUAUAUCUCCUAAUUCUAUCCCUCCCCCCUCCCCCUACCCCACAACAGUCCCUAGAGUGUGGUGUUCCCCUUCCUGUGUAACUAUAUAGCAAUUUCAUUUUACAUGCAGUAAUUUUAAAUGCCCAAAAAUAAAAGGAAAAGGAAAAAUAAGUCACUACACAACUUAUAUAUAUUAUGUAUUUGUCUUUGAAUUUUGUGUGCGUAUGUGUGUGUGUAUAUAUAGACAGCAUGCGCACACAUACAUACACGUGUGCAGGAACACACACAAUUUGAGGCGAAAUGUUGAAGUAAAGUAAAUGACUUUUAAAUAUUUUCUUUUUAGCUUUUAAGAUGUCUAUUAGAUCCAACCUCUACAAUUAAAUUAUAUGAGCAUACUGAGGGAGAAUUGCACAUUUGUAAAGUUUCUCUUUAGUAGAGAUUUCAGAAUUUUUUUUCUCAAAUUUAGAGGAACGAACAAUUCACAUUAGUAAAACACACAGCA